rfam:Zea mays cultivar B73 chromosome 5, whole genome shotgun sequence.
ACUUGUCUAGCUCAGUUGGUAAAAUACAUGACUCUUAACCCUGUGGUCGUGGGUUCGAGUCCCACGGUGGGCG